CUCUGUAUCAUGCGGAGCUUCAACAUCCACCUGGAAAUUCCAUGAAGGAAUGAGUCUGAAUAUUGCUUACUUCAAGUCCACACCACAUUCUCACCCUUUUAUCUUUCAUUACUUUGUCUUUUCCUUAAGAAUAACUUCAUGAAAACUAGGAAGAAUUUUCCAAAUAUGCAUUUUCAUUUCUUCCUCUUUCCUCUGUCCCCUAGAACUUCAUUCUUUUUAUGUUCAGAGACGAUCCAUAUUGAAAGGAAUGGGAGGAAAGAAAUGUCUGUCAGCACUUUCAGAAGGGGAACUGGCCUCUCUAGUAUUGGAAGUAACAUAAGGAGAAGCAGGACACAACAAUGCUCUAUAGAAGAACACCUCACACAGUGUUUUGAGUUUCAGUGAAUCACAAGAAAAGGAAGGAUGGGAUCUGACAUCUGGAAAUGAUUAUGAAAACUUAUUGUACUGCAAAAAUAUGCUUCUUUUUCCCUGCCCAAUUCUAACAGAAAGCAGUGAUAUUGAAACAAAUGCCAGACUAAACAGUGGAGAAAACAAUGCAAACAUGAACUUUGCCACCGUCAACCUAAGUACUCAGCUGGAUCAUCAAGGAAAGUACAGACUGGACUGUAUGGAUAUUCUGAAGUGGGUGAAGUAGUCUGCUGGGGAAAGCAACAUGAAAUUUGUAUAUAUAUUUGUGAACAUAAGCAAAAUUUGAUAUCACUGAAAACUAGCUGGUCUUAAGCUGCUGACGUGUGAACUCAGCAGAAAGAUCUAGUUUCUAAAAAAGCUCUAGGAAAAUAGGCACCUCUAGCACAGAGGAAGUCAGAAGGAAAUCAGCUAAAAAGAAUGUCUGCUCUAUUUCCUCUGAGACUUAGGUAUUUCUAUCUCCAGAAAAGGGGAAAUAACUGCAGCUUGCCUUGGGCCCCAGCUGCCUCAGUCAGCUCUUUCGUAGGCUUUGUCAUUUUCUUUUUUGAUAUUGUUGUUGGGUUUUGAGUGAUCUGGCUUUACCAUCAGUCUCCCUUUCUAAAAAUAUUUUUGCUUUUUCAAAUAACCACUGAUUCUGCAUUUAGCUAGUAAUAUGGCGUUGGAUUGCUUGACUCUGUUGAAGUAUUUUCUUGUGUCUGAAAGUUCAAGUAACUUUUAGUGUACAUUUAUCUGACUGUCACUUAUUUUUAAUUCAAUCAAAAGCAAGUUACCAGUAUAUUGAAAAUCCUUUCAAUGUCCAGCAACACAGCGGUCUGAUUCAGUGUUCAGAACAAACAGGUGCUCACCCCAGAGAUUUUACAACCAUUGUGUAUAGGUGGGAGAGAACUGAGAGGGUGAGGAGAGAAAACUUAUUGUGAAAACCUACCAGGG
ensembl:lncRNA